rnacentral:rRNA from 1 species
GUAUGGGGCAAGCGUUAUCCGGAUUUACUGGGUGUAAAGGGAGCGUAGGCGGCAUGGCAAGUCAGAAGUGAAAGCCUGGGGCUCAACCCCGGAAUUGCUUUUGAAACUGUCAGGCUAGAGUGUCGGAGGGGUAAGCGGAAUUCCUAGUGUAGCGGUGAAAUGCGUAGAUAUUUGGAAGAACACCAAUGGCGAAGGCAGCCCCCUGGGAUGCGACUGACGCUCAUGCACGAAAGCGUGGGGAGCAAACAGGAUUAGAUACCCUGGUAGUCCACGCCCUAAACGAUGUCUACUGGUUGUUGGGGUUUUUUAACCUUGGUAACGAAGCUAACGCGUGAAGUAGACCGCCUGGGGAGU